AGAGACUAGGCUUCACCAUGUUGCCUAGUCUGGUCCCAAACUCCUGGACUCAAGCGAUCAGCCUGCCUUGGCCCCCCGAAGUGCUGAGAUUACCAUAGAGAAGGGAAGUGGUCUGCCAUGGUAAGAAGUGCUGGCUUCCCCUUUGCCUUUCGCCAUGAUUGCAAGUUUCCUGAAGGCUUCCAGUCAUGCUUCCUGUUAUGUCUGCAGAACUGUGAGUCAAUUAAACAUUUUUACUUUAUAAAUUACCCAGUCUUGGGUAGUUCUUUAUAGCAGUGUAGAAACGGACUAAUAAAACAUGUACGUUUAAUGUCUCCCAAGUACGGGAUUUUUUUCUUUUUGUUAUUCUUCAUGUCACAUUUGGUUGCUAUAGGUAGGAGUGUGAAUCACAU
rnacentral:lncRNA from 10 species